rnacentral:rRNA from 1 species
UACAACUUUAAGCAAUGGAUCACUCGGCUCACACGUCGAUGAAGAACGUAGCAAAAUAUGUGAAUUAAUGUAAUCUGCACAACGCUCUGAUCAUUGACACUUUGAACGCAAAUGGCGGCUAUGGGUUAACUGUAGCCACGUCUGUCUGAGGGUCGGCAUAAAACUUAUCAU